GUCAUAUCGGGCCUCAUCCUAUCACCGAAGUUAAGCAACGUCGAGCCUGACCAGUACCUAGAUUUGUGAACGCUUGGGAAUACUAGUUGCUGUAA